rnacentral:rRNA from 1 species
CGCGUAGGCGGAUAUUUAAGUCAGGGGUGAAAGCCCGGGGCUCAACCUCGGGAUUGCCUUUGAUACUGGAUAUCUUGAGUUCGGGAGAGGUGAGUGGAAUGCCGAGUGUAGAGGUGAAAUUCGUAGAUAUUCGGCGGAACACCAGUGGCGAAGGCGACCCACUGGCCCGAUACUGACGCUGAGGCGCGAAAGCGUGGGGAGCAAACA